GAUGAACGCUGGCGGCGUGCCUAAUACAUGCAAGUCGAGCGAACAGACGAGGAGCUUGCUCCUCUGACGUUAGCGGCGGACGGGUGAGUAACACGUGGAUAACCUACCUAUAAGACUGGGAUAACUUCGGGAAACCGGAGCUAAUACCGGAUAAUAUCUUGAACCGCAUGGUUCAAUAGUGAAAGACGGUUUUGCUGUCACUUAUAGAUGGAUCCGCGCCGCAUUAGCUAGUUGUUAAGGUAACGGCUUACCAAGGCAACGAUGCGUAGCCGACCUCAGAGGGUGAUCGGCCGCACUAGAACUGAGACACGGUCCAGACUCCUACGGGAGGCAGCAGUAGGGAAUGUGCCGCAAUGGGCGAAAGCAUGACGGAGCAACGCCGCGUGAGUGAUGAAGGUCUUGGGAUCGUAAAACUCUGUUAUUAGGGAAGAACAAAUGUGUAAGUAAAUAUGCACGUCUUGACGGUACCUAAUCAGAAAGCCACGGCUAACUACGUG
rnacentral:rRNA from 1 species